UAGGGAAUCUUCGGCAAUGGACGGAAGUCUGAUCGAGCAACGCCGCGUGAGUGAAGAAGGUUUUCGGAUCGUAAAGCUCUGUUGUUAGAGAAGAACGUUGGUAGGAGUGGAAAAUCUACCAAGUGACGGUAACUAACCAGAAAGGGACGGCCAACUACGUGCCAGCAGCCGCGGUAAUACGUAGGUCCCGAGCGUUGUCCGGAUUUAUUGGGGGUAAAGCGAGCGCAGGCGGUUCUUUAAGUCUGAAGUUAAAGCCAGUGGCUUAACCAUUGUACGCUUUGGAAACUGGAGGACUUGAGUGAAGAAGGGGAGAUGGGAUUUCCAUGUGUAGCGGGGAAGUGCGUAGAUAGAGGGAGAAACACCGGUGGCGAAGGCGGCUCUCUGGUCUGUAACUGACGCUGAGGCUCGAAAGCGUGGGGAGCAAACAGG
rnacentral:rRNA from 1 species